AUUGAACGCUGGCGGCAUGCCUUACACAUGCAAGUCGAACGGUAACGGGCCUUCGGGUGCCGACGAGUGGCGCACGGGUGAGUAAUACAUCGGAACGUGCCCGAUCGUGGGGGAUAACGAGGCGAAAGCUUUGCUAAUACCGCAUACGAUCUACGGAUGAAAGCAGGGGACCGCAAGGCCUUGCGCGGACGGAGCGGCCGAUGGCAGAUUAGGUAGUUGGUGGGGUAAAAGCUUACCAAGCCGACGAUCUGUAGCUGGUCUGAGAGGAUGAUCAGCCACACUGGGACUGAGACACGGCCCAGACUCCUACGGGAGGCAGCAGUGGGGAAUUUUGGACAAUGGGCGCAAGCCUGAUCCAGCCAUGCCGCGUGCAGGAUGAAGGCCUUCGGGUUGUAAACUGCUUUUGUACGGAACGAAAAGCCUUCUUUUAAUACAGGAGGGUCAUGACGGUACCGUAAGAAUAAGCACCGGCUAACUACGUG
rnacentral:rRNA from 1 species